rnacentral:rRNA from 1 species
CCCUUAGACACUCUAGGCGGCACGCGCGCUACAAUGGGUGGAAGACCGUGUUACUGCCUUCGAAAGAAGGGGUGAAUCACGAAUUCUUACCCGUGAAUGGGAUAGUUUGUUGCAAUUUUCGGACUUGAACUAGGAAUCCCUUGUAAGCAUGCUCAAGAAUAGCGUGUUGAAUACGUCCCUGCCGUUUGUACACACCGCCCGUCGCUCCUACCGAUCGAAGAGUUAGGUGAAUUGUUUUGAUCGAUAAGAUUUGACUAUGGUCAACUCUCGUUGUGAAAUUCUGUGAAUCUGACUGUUUAGAGGAAGGAAAAGUCGUAACA